ACGGGAGGCAGCAGUGGGGAAUAUUGGACAAUGGGCGCAAGCCUGAUCCAGCGACGCCGCGUGAGUGAAGAAAGCCUCCGGGUUGUAAAGCUCUUUUAGUGGGGAAGAUAAUGACGGUACCCACAGAAAAAGCCCCGGCUAACUUYGUGCCAGCAGCCGCGGUAAUACGAAGGGGGCUAGCGUUACUYGGAAUUAUUGGGCGUAAAGCGUGCGUAGGCUSCUUAGUAAGUCAAAAGUGAAAGCCUUGGGCUCAACCUAAGAAUUGCUUUUGAAACUACCAAGCUUGAGUACUGUAGGGGAUAGCGGAAUUCCUAGUGUAGGGGUGAAAUUNGUAGAUAUUAGGAGGAACACYGGAGGCGAAAGCGGUUAUCUGGACAGUUACUGACGCUGUUGCACGAAAGCGUGGGGAGCAAACAGGAUUAGAUACCCUGGUAGUCCACGCAGUAAACGAUGAGUGCUAGAUGUUGGGAUUUAAGUCUNAGUGUCGCAGCUAACGCAUUAAGCACUCCGCCUGGGGAGUACGGUCGCAAGAUUA
rnacentral:rRNA from 1 species